rnacentral:rRNA from 1 species
UACAGAGGUCUCAAGCGUUGUUCGGAUUCAUUGGGCGUAAAGGGUGUGUAGGUGGCGCGCUAAGUCGGGUGUGAAAUUUCGGAGCUUAACUCCGAAACUGCAUUCGAUACUGGCGUGCUUGAGGACUGGAGAGGAGACUGGAAUUUACGGUGUAGCAGUGAAAUGCGUAAAUAUCGUAAGGAAGACCAGUGGCGAAGGCGGGUCUCUGGACAGUUCCUGACACUGAGACACGAAGGCCAGGGGAGCAAACGGG